rnacentral:misc_RNA from 1 species
ACCACUUCCAUCUCACAUCAAUACUCACCUCCUCUCCUAUGCUAUCAUCCUUUUCCGCCGUCAACCCCCACUCUCCUCACGCCACCUAUCCUAUCGAUUCUCUCCCAUUCGCUUUUCUAAACGCUUAUCUCACAACUCUGUCACUCUGUCUCACGCGAUCGCCCCUCUCUCUCGCUUUCUCUCUCUAGAAACAAAGGCGAGAAACGAACCGAAAACCAACUCUUGCUUUCGGAGGAGAAAAACAAAAGAAGGGGAAAUUUACCACUCUAAUGUCUUCGCGGAAAUCGAUUUUCUCUCGAAGGAGUUCCAAGUCGUUCAGGUCUGUAAACAAUCAUAAACACGACGGCGGAGGAGCGGUGGUGUCCGGCCGUCUCGGCUGCGAUGUUUCCGGGGAGUGGUGGGCCGAGUCGGACCCUGUGGAUGGCUGGGCGAACAUGUUGCCUGAAUUGCUUGGAGAGAUAAUAAAACGAGUGGAAGAGAGCGAGGAUCGGUGGCCUCAGCGACAAAACGUUGUCGCUUGUGCUUGUGUUUGUAAGAAAUGGAGAGAGGUUACUAAGGAGAUCGUUAGGUCUCGUGGCAAUAUCGGCAAAAUCACUUUCCCUUCUUGCCUUAAACAGGUCAAUUUUCAUAUUUUGUUAAAAUUUCUUCGGUUUUUUCCCCUUCUUUUUUGGUAGAGUGAUUGGCUGCGCAUUGUGGAAUGUCAGUAUCUUGAUUAUUUCGUAGGGAUUUUUUUUGUGAUGUUAGUAGUUUUGAUUUUUUUCCAUAAAUAAUGCAUGAAAUAUAAGCCGAAAUCUAUCUAAUUUAAAUUUUCCUUGAUAGUUGAACUAUUAUGUAGAUUUUAUGUGAAUAGUUAUUGAUAUGUUUUUUGCAAGGAAUUCUUCUUAUAGGUUAGUUAAUUGAGAAUUUUUGUUAGUGCUCCUGGUUAGUUGAACUUUCAGGUUUGAAUUAUAUGUGUUUUUUUUCUUUGAUGUUUCCUGUGCCUGGAGUUUUCAUUUGUUCUCAUUUCUUGGUUAUUUCUAUGUAUAUUGCUUCAGUGUUGUACAUACUGUGAAUCUAAUUUUCAUAGGUUCUGCAAUAACUUUUUGGUGUAAAAAUAUCAACAAUCAGAAAAUUGAUUGAAAAUGUGGGAAUGAAGGUUCAGAAAAUUUUGAAUGUUGAAAGCAAAUAACUUUACUGUUCCAGAUAAUAUGAAAGUCUUGUCAUUUAAAUUGUUUUUGGAUUGUUCAUUUAGCUUCUUGAUUUAUUUUUUGUGGCUUCAACAAUUGGUGGUCAAAUAUGUGUAAAAUUUUGCAAUGGUCCUUUUGUUUUUAUUGCAAAUGCAGCCGGGCCCACAUGACUUACCUCAUCAAUGUCUUAUAAAACGGAAUAAGAAGACUUCAACGUUUUAUCUCUCUCUUGCUCUUACUCCAUGUGAGUAGUUAUUGGUGGACUUGAUUUUAGAACCAAAAGAGGAGCUUCGGGGCUUCUUCAGAUUUAUGCUUCUUCUGCAGCUACAUUAGUUUGACAUAAUCAUUUAUGCUUAAAUUUUUAGUAUUAAAACUGAAAGGGAAAGGAUUCAUUUUGUCAAACCUUUAGAUUGACCUUUGUCUAUAUGGUGAUAUGAUAUUUUAUCACACAUGGCAUUCCAAAGUCAACUUGACUCAUUCUAAAAUUGACAAUAUUCAGUCUGUAAAACAAAGCUUGUUCCAUUUAAGAGUCACACCUAAAUAUUGACUAACAUGAUAAUUUUAAAUUAAAAAGGAAAGACAAUUUUUGGGAUUGAGAACGGUUAUGUAGCACAUGAAAAUUUUUUAUAUUAAAACUAUUACUGUUAAAAGCUUUGAUCUUUUUGUCUAUACACAACUAUUUUGUGGUGAUGAGUGUAGCAUCAAACACAAAAUGUUCAAUGGUUUGGAAAGACUGGUGAUUUUAUUUGGAAAGUUAAUGCAUGACAUAUCUUUUGUUAACAGUGAAUUUUAUAAAUGUGAGAGGUUUAUCAUAGAUUAUUGAAUUUAUGUUUCAUCUUGCAUGGACUUGAUUAUCAAGUUUGUUAUUGGCCUUCAGUUCUGUUAGCAUAUAUAUUUUAUUUGUUUUCUGUUUGUCCUAUGUAACUUUUGUAACGUAAGUUAUUGAAGUCUGGCUCAUUUGAGGUUGUAUUUUAUUCUUCUUCCUAGCAUUAAUUGAAGUCUGGCUCAUUUGAGGUUGUAUUUUAUUCUUCUUCCUAGCAUUAAUGGACAAGGGAAAGUUUCUUCUAGCAGCACGGAGGUUUAGACAUGGUGCUCACAUAGAAUAUAUCAUCUCACUUGAUGCAGAAGAUCUAUCCCAAGGAAGUAAUUCAUAUGUUGGAAAAUUAAGUUCGGACUUUCUUGGCACCAACUUUACAAUCUACGACAGCCAGCCACCACACAGUGGUGCAAAGCCCUCAAGUAGCAGAGCUAGCCGCAGAUUUGCGAGCAAACAAAUAAGCCCCCAAGUUCCAGCAGGCAAUUUUGAGGUUGGACAGGUCUCUUACAAAUUUAACCUCUUAAAAUCAAGAGGUCCCAGAAGGAUGGUGUGCUCACUGAAGUGUCCACUAUCACGAGAAACUAUUAAUGAAAAACAUCUUGAAGACUCCGUGAUGAAGGGACCAGAGUCUUCAGUUUCUGGCUAUACAGUUUUGCGCAACAAGGCCCCGAGGUGGCAUGAACAUCUGCAAUGCUGGUGCUUGAAUUUCCAUGGUCGGGUAACUGUAGCAUCAGUGAAGAACUUCCAAUUGGUUGCAACUGUGGACCAAAGUCAGCCAGGAGGAAAAGGAGAUGAGGAUACUGUCCUCCUGCAGUUUGGGAAGGUAGGAGAUGAUACUUUCACCAUGGACUAUAGGCAGCCAUUGUCAGCUUUUCAGGCAUUUGCAAUAUGCCUUACGAGCUUUGGCACAAAACUGGCAUGUGAGUAGCUUAUAUGCUGUUAUUAUAAUUAUUGAAGUUGUGAGUUAUGUUGGAUGCUUUAAUAUGAGUAGUUCGUUUCACAUCGCCUUUACGAUGUUGGUUUGGUUGGAGGAAACCAAUAAUGUAAAUGUUGUUUAUUGUAUUAAUGACAGGACUCGAAAUUAUUGGUUCCCAACAAUUUUACGUUUACCAAGGAUGGUUUUUGUUUUCUACAUUCAAGUCUCUGAAAAAAAUUCACUGUCAACAUUCUUCAUAUGAAGGAUUUGGGUUGUAGAUGCAAGUUGGAUUCUAUGGAAAUAGUAUCCUUUACUAAACUCCUCCGAUUGUGAUUCUGCAUUAACUUAUUAGCAGUCUUGAUAUUUUUUUUUUUAUUGCUGAAGAUAAAAAAUACCAGUUCUUGUACGUAGUUUUAAAUGCCCGUAACCAAAGCCUUGACCACUCCAUGUCCAUGGAUGACUAUUGCAACAUUUGGAAGAUAUCACUCAGAAAUUUUGUGGAGUAGCUGCUAUCUGUUAAUCCAACGAACUGACUUCCGAUCAUAGCAUGUUGCUAAUGAUGAGAGGGGGCUGUAUUAUUUAGUUGAUGGUUAUUAGGUUGAUUCUGUUUUCAUCCUUGAACUUCAAAUCGUUGCUUUUGGUUCCUUUUGUAAUUCCUUAUCUUUUAACUGUUCUUUGUAAUUCCUUUUUAUUUAUUGAAUUUGGAGUAAAUCUUUGAUUAAAA